CUCUCGGAGGUGGAGCUUCUGCAGGCUGAGUGCUGCCGGGCCUGCGGGCACCCACCCGCUGGCUCAAUCCUCUGGGUAUUCUGACUCAUGUGUCCAGAGUUGGUUCCUUCUGGUGAGUUUGUGGUCUCGCUGACUUCAAAAAUGGAGCCGAGGACCUUCACGAAAGAAAUAAGGAGACAGAGUAUGAGGCUGCCAAAGUAAUUGGGGGAAAGUCCUGGAAAUGAGGAAACUGCAGAGACAUACAUCUAAAAAAAUCUGCUACAAAUUCACUUCAUGCUAUUGGAUAACUUCUAAGCUGCCCUGUGCAGGGAGAAACGAUGGCAGCUGAGAGACUAAGAGUUAAGUAGAGACUUCUAUGUGCUGCACAGUGCUGGAAAGAUGGAGGCUAUACUUCCAGCUCCAUCAGGAUGGGAGAGCCUUGGCAAAAACGAACCUUUUGGCUGAAAUUCCAUAGGGACAUGCCCUAGACAUAAGAAUUAUACUUUACUAGUAAGAACAAAAUUCGGUAGCUUAAAUCUAAUCCUUGACAGGUUCAAGGUGAUCUGUUUGAAGACAUAUGUGUUGUCCUACACUUUUUCAUCUACAAUGUUGUCAAGAAAAUUAAAAAUUAUGAGGCAUAUUGAAAAGAUGAGAGAGGGAGAGAGAAGAUAAUGGAAUCAGUUCUAUAGGAUUCAGGUAUUGAAUUUAUCAGACAAGGACUUUAAAAUAACUAUGAUUGCACUUUGGGAGUCCAAGGCAGGUGGAUCACCUGA